rnacentral:tRNA from 1 species
GUCCCUGUAGUUUAACGGAUAGAACGCUUCCCUCCGGAGGAAGAGGUUGGCCGUUCGAAUCGGCCCAGGGACACAA